AGAAGGACGAUGAAGGAAACAUCUGUGCGGUGUCUGCUCUACGGUGGUGGAUCUGCAGGAAGAACUGAGGACGUCCGUCAUAGACGAAUCAUCAUCAUCAGAGAGAAGAGAGAGAGUCCGAGCUGAGAGGUGGUCCAAUGUUUCUGGAUUACCCACAGCCCCCUCUGUCUGCAUAAAAGCAGUGCUGGAACACUGGUGUACCAUGGCCACGUGAGCAUCAGGGGAACAGCAUUGUCCUUGUUGCUAGAGAACAUGGUGAGAAAAAGUAAUUAACAAUGGAGGAGAGACAGACCGUCAUAACACUUAGAUGUAGGUCUUGUAGUCUGAUGAAUUAUAAUCUGAAAUCUUCGGUUCAUCACGCAGGAUCUGUGUACGCCAUCGAGUAGGCGAAAGAAUGGUUACACAGCAUUCUGCAGCGCCAUGCAGUACCCUCUGGUAAGCUUAAAAUAUGGAGUGGCCAGCACGGUCUCCAGACUUAAACCCCAUCAAGCUGGUUUGGGAUGAACUGGACCGAAGAGUGAAAGCAAAGCAACCUACAAGUGUCAAACAUUGUAGAAAGAACACCACGACUGUGUUCUGCUAUUAUAUCUGCCAAAGGUGGCUACUUUGAGAAGUUGAGAAUACAUUUGUCUUUAAAUUGAUUCUGAUUUCUUUUUUAACUCCAAUUGCUUAUUUGUACUGUGCUUUCAUUUUAGAGUACAAUGAGACAUUAAACUGGAUAAUUUCCAAUAAGCUCUGAUGAAGCUGGAUUGACUAAAGUUAUUGAUUGUGUCGUGUUUCCAUGUGUUCAGUAACUUUACUGUUAUUUGUAUUUUGUUUCUAAGUGCUGUCGUCUUCACAGCAGUGAUCUGGUUUCUCUGCAGUUUCAAUAAACUUUGGUCUCACUUGAUCUUCUGUUUGUUUCACAAAGAUGUCUGAUGGACAACCUGAGUUGUUGUGAUGAACCAAAAACACUUCAGUUUUCUUCAAAGCAGAUAAAGUUCAUGUGAGCCACAGACAGCAGGAACGAUUUCUCACAUGAAUCUUAGUUACUGUGAAGUUUGUCUGUUGACAGCAGAACUGAUUUGAUUGCAACUCAUUUAAUGGACAAAAUAAAUUUCAGGUACAGCUGCA